rnacentral:siRNA from 1 species
GGUUGCGGUUUAAGUUCUUAUACU